rnacentral:rRNA from 1 species
GUGGGGAAUAUUGGACAAUGGGGGGAACCCUGAUCCAGCCAUGCCGCGUGUGUGAAGAAGGCCUUUUGGUUGUAAAGCACUUUAAGCGAGGAGGAGGCUACCGAGAUUAAUACUCUUGGAUAGUGGACGUUACUCGCAGAAUAAGCACCGGCUAACUCUGUGCCAGCAGCCGCGGUAAUACAGAGGGUGCGAGCGUUAAUCGGAUUUACUGGGCGUAAAGCGCGCGUAGGUGGCCAAUUAAGUCAAAUGUGAAAUCCCCGAGCUUAACUUGGGAAUUGCAUUCGAUACUGGUUGGCUAGAGUAUGGGAGAGGAUGGUAGAAUUCCAGGUGUAGCGGUGAAAUGCGUAGAGAUCUGGAGGAAUACCGAUGGCGAAGGCAGCCAUCUGGCCUAAUACUGACACUGAGGUGCGAAAGCAUGGGGAGCAAACAGGAUUAGAAACCCCAGUAGUCC